GUCAAUGGUAUUUAUUUAAUAUUAUUAGAAAGAAUUAUUUUGGGUUGUUAAGUUAUAUAAUUGAGACUGACCAAGAUCGAAAGAGUGGGUUGAUUCGGUUUUAAAGUAUUCCGUCAUAGGAAGCUGAAAGACCUCAUGAACAGCAGGACAGAAAGGAUUGUUAAAUAUUUAAAUAUGUGAAAUUUAUGAAAAUAUAUAUGGAUAUAGACUUUUGUAAUAAAGUGUGUAUUAUUUAA